rnacentral:rRNA from 1 species
AUUGAACGCUGGCGGCAGGCCUAACACAUGCAAGUCGAACGAGUGGCGGACGGGUGAGUAAUGUCUGGGACACUGCCCGAUGGAGGGGGAUAACUACUGGAAACGGUAGCUAAUACCGCAUACCAUCGGAUGUGCCCAGAUGGGAUUAGCUGGUAGGUGGGGUAACGGCUCACCUAGGCGACGAUCCCUAGCUGGCCUGAGAGGAUGACCAGCAACACUGGAACUGAGACACGGCCCAACCUCCUACGGGAGGCAGCAGUGGGGAAUAUUGCACAAGGGGCGCAAGCCUGAUGCAGCAAUGCGGCGUGUAUGAAGAAGGCCUUCGGGUGGUAAAGUACUUUCAGCGAGGAGGCGUUACUCGAAGAAGAAGCACCGGCUAACUCCGUGCCAGCCGCCGCGGUAAUAC